rnacentral:sRNA from 1 species
UAAUAACUUUCUCCUGCAUCAUCUUGCGC